UACAGAGGGGGCAAGCGUUGUUCGGAAUUACUGGGCGUAAAGGGCUCGUAGGUGGCCAACUAAGUCAGACGUGAAAUCCCUCAGCUUAACUGGGGAACUGCGUCUGAUACUGGAUGGCUUGAGUUCGGGAGAGGGAUGCGGAAUUCCAGGUGUAGCGGUGAAAUGCGUAGAUAUCUGGAGGAACACCGGUGGCGAAGGCGGCAUCCUGGACCGACACUGACACUGAGGAGCGAAAGCCAGGGGAGCAAACGGG
rnacentral:rRNA from 1 species